rnacentral:lncRNA from 1 species
CAUUCUCCCCGCAUAUCAUCUCCACCUCCACAUUGAAUCUCACAACUGUACUACAUUACCAAUAACAAAUCAAUCAUUAUUUUUUUUUAUGUAACCCCAUAUAGUUUUGUACUUUCUUAUUUUAGUAUUCUAUGAUUUAAAGUGUAUCAACUUAGUAUUUUGUGAUUUCGCAUUUUCUCAUUUUAGUACUCUGUAAUUUAAAAUGUAUCAAGUUAGUACUCUGUGGUUUUUAUUUUAUAUUAAGUUAGUAUUCUGUAGUUUCUUUUUUUUUUAUUAUCUAUUUCGGAAUAUUUUUUUGCUAAAUUAGUGACAAAGUUAAAACUAAAAGGUAUUAAAAUGAAUAUUUGAUAAACUUAUAUAGAAUAUCUAAAAUUUUUUUUUGUAUAUAAUUUAACUAAAUAUUAAACCACGCGCUAUUAACUUGAUAUAAUUUAAAUUACGGGAUAUUAAAGUUAGAAAAUGUAGUGUAUUUAGAGGUAUUUGAGGUUUU